GGGGCCGACGCAAGUGACUUGCUCCCGAUGUUACGCGGCUAGCGUUGAGUCACACGGUGGCCUUACCGUGCACGUGUAAGACCUGAGGAUAACCUCCGGAUAAACCGGACGCUAAUACCGUGAUGCGAUGCUUUGAACCAGCAUGCGUUCAAACAUAAAAGGUGGCUUCGGCUACCACUUACAGAUGGACCCGCGGCGCAUUAGCUAGUUGGUGAGGUAACGGCUCACCAAGGCAACGAUGCGUAGCCGACCUGAUAGGAUGAUCCACCCCCAAGGGACUGAGACACGGCCCAGACUCCUACGGGAGGCAGCAGUAGGGAAUCUUCCGCAAUGGACGAAAGUCUGACGGAGCAACGCCGCGUGAGUGAUGAAGGUUUUCGGAUCGUAAAGCUCUGUUGUUAGGGAAGAACAAGUACCGUUCGAAUAGGGCGGUACCUUGACGGUACCUAACCAGAAAGCCACGGCUAACUACGUGCCAGCAGCCGCGGUAAUACGUAGGUGGCAAGCGUUGUCCGGAAUUAUUGGGCGUAAAGGGCUCGCAGGCGGUUUCUUAAGUCUGAUGUGAAAGCCCCCGGCUCAACCGGGGAGGGUCAUUGGAAACUGGGGAACUUGAGUGCAGAAGAGGAGAGUGGAAUUCCACGUGUAGCGGUGAAAUGCGUAGAGAUGUGGAGGAACACCAGUGGCGAAGGCGACUCUCUGGUCUGUAACUGACGCUGAGGAGCGAAAGCGUGGGGAGCGAACAGGAUUAGAUACCCUGGUAGUCCACGCCGUAAACGAUGAGUGCUAAGUGUUAGGGGGUUUCCGCCCCUUAGUGCUGCAGCUAACGCAUUAAGCACUCCGCCUGGGGAGUACGGUCGCAAGACUGAAACUCAAAGGAAUUGACGGGGGCCCGCACAAGCGGUGGAGCAUGUGGUUUAAUUCGAAGCAACGCGAAGAACCUUACCAGGUCUUGACAUCCUCUGACAAUCCUAGAGAUAGGACGUCCCCUUCGGGGGCAGAGUGACAGGUGGUGCAUGGUUGUCGUCAGCUCGUGUCGUGAGAUGUUGGGUUAAGUCCCGCAACGAGCGCAACCCUUGAUCUUAGUUGCCAGCAUUCAGUUGGGCACUCUAAGGUGACUGCCGGUGACAAACCGGAGGAAGGUGGGGAUGACGUCAAAUCAUCAUGCCCCUUAUGACCUGGGCUACACACGUGCUACAAUGGACAGAAACAAGGGCAACGAAACCG
rnacentral:rRNA from 1 species